rnacentral:piRNA from 1 species
CCCAGGAAAUAAGUGACAUGGUGUGG